CAGCCUACGGGAGGCAGCAGUGGGGAAUAUUGCACAAUGGGGGGAACCCUGAUGCAGCGACGCCGCGUGAGCGAUGAAGUAUUUCGGUAUGUAAAGCUCUAUCAGCAGGGAAGAAAAUGACGGUACCUGACUAAGAAGCCCCGGCUAACUACGUGCCAGCGGCCGCGGUAAUACGUAGGGGGCAAGCGUUAUCCGGAUUUACUGGGUGUAAAGGGAGCGUAGACGGCUGUGCAAGUCUGGAGUGAAAGGCAUGGGCUCAACCUGUGGACUGCUUUGGAAACUGUGCGGCUUGAGUGUCGUAGAGG
rnacentral:rRNA from 1 species